rnacentral:lncRNA from 1 species
CCCAUAUUUCUUUUCCACAAAGGAAAAGAGCAUAUACACACAUAAAUUCCAUCCAAUUGGUGGCCCACAGUGAAGAAAAACAUAUACAAAAGGCCAUUCAUUUUUUCUUUUCUUCUUGACCAAUUCAUAUAUACAUAGAACAAACAAAAUACAAAAAUAGACACCUCACACCAUUAACAGAGGGCAACACACACUUGCCCUUUCGAAUAAAAACCUCACUGAAGUACUCACAGAGGGAGAGCACACUGACCCUCACGCAUAUCACACACACACACUUUAUUUUUUUUUUCUUCUCCACCGAGAAAACACACCCAGAUAUACACCAUUACACCACUCACACGGAGAUGGAAUACGUGCACACUCUCACUGAUUGAAGAGGUCACCAUUUUUCUAUUUUUCUUUAACAACGCACGACAACACCAUGGAGAGAAUACCUACAAAAAUAGAGAAAAGAAAACUCAAAUAAAACACACUACAAAUUGAAACCUCACCGGAAAAGUUCACUCACUCACUCACGAAUAGCUCACCAUACGCACACACGCCGUGUAUAAACACGCCACACACUGAAAACCGAGAGUUGAGGGUGUGAUCGGAGUAAUCGAGAAAGUGCGAUUCGAGUGAGAGAGAGAUCAAAACAGAGAGAAGGAUCGAAAGAUUGAGAGCAAAACACAAAGGGGAACCGAUUGGGAAGGAGGGUGGUGCGAUCGGAUUCCGGCAACGUCCAUCGAAAUCGUGGUUUGGUUCGGUUCUGCCUGAAAUCGGGUCGGGCUUUGGAUUUAUCCGUCUUCGCGAUUCAUUUUCAAUAUUGUGAUUCUCGGGUUACUCGAUUCAUGCCCGCGGAUUUCUGUUCGAAUUGGAUUUCGUGAAUAUUCCGUGUUUGGAGUUCGGUUGAUAGUCGAGUCGGUAUUCGUUGAGGUUCUCAGUACGGCUCUUUAUUCUCUUAUUCAAAUCAAUCGAAAGAGUCAUUGAGGUCCAAUUCUAUUUCAUUCUCAUUUUGAUUUCAUUAUAUACGCAUGAUUGAUGGAUAUCAUCUCAAUUUUCUCUUAUUUUAGGUGUGAUAUGAAUGAUUAAUUUGGAAUUAUUUGAUUGUGGAUUUUUGAAAAAUGGUAAUCGUGAACUGUUAUAUUGCAACUUUGAAUAAAAUUUGGGGGAAUUGAUAAUCGAAUAAGUAAAACGUUGAUUAGUUUUGAUUCAUUGUUGGAUAUUAUUGAAAUUGAUAGUAUCAUGUUUUAGAUCGUUAAAUGUGUAGGCAAAUACUAAGUUUGGGUAGGCAAAUUGUAGAAAUGGAAGAUGGUGACUUGUGGAAUGUGUGAAUAUUUGUUGAAUGGUUCUUUCUAUUUUAACGCAUAAAAUUGAGGAUGUAUUCAUUUUGCCGGGGAAUGCCCCGAGGUACUUGUAUCCAUUCAUCGAGAAAUAUUCCGACAUAUCAUGUACGCAAAGAAGGUUCGUGAUGAAGGCUUGAGGCAUCGGGUAAAGCAUUGGAGUAUAGUUUAGGAUUAGUCUAAAUAGGAUUUCUAUUUUUGUAUUGUUCUAUUUUUGGACUGUAUAAUUCGUACUGGACAUUAUUUUGAUUUUUGAAUUUUGAAUUGCAUGACAUGUACUUACUUUUUUUAAUAUGUGAAUGUGAAUUAGUUGAUUAACUUAAUUAUUUUAUGUAAAUAUUAAUGGCCUAAGUUUUGCCUAAAAUUGAUGAAAUUAUAUAAAUAAAGAAUAUCCCGACCGACACCCAAAAAGCAAAAUUUUCACUAUUUUUUUUUUGUUAUUUAUACAAGUGUGAGAAUAUAAAAUACAAUAUAAAAUUUAAGGGCCUCUUUGACUGCAACUCCCGACGAAUAUUUCAAAAUAACCUGUAUAAACACUAAAAAAAAAAGAAUAUUAGUAACAAAUAAUCAAAAUAAAUUGAACAAGCAUCAAAAUAAAUUGAACAAGUGUGUAUGCGUAUAAAUAUUUAAAAAUAUAUUUUUUAUUAAAAAGUGGGCUCAGAUAAUGUCAUGACUGCGAAAUGGUUGCUCAAUUAAUUGGCCGUUCUAAAUCGUCUUGCAACGAAGUGGUUGCUCAAUUAAUUGGCCGUCCUAAAUCGUCUUGCCAAGAUAUGAAUUGUAAAAUCUUGUGUUAUAAAGUUUCAUCAUCGCCCAAAAAAUAUUUAUUUAUUACGUAUGUAUACGUAAAAAGUCCGUCUUUUGUUUACGGAUGCCUCAAAAUUAAUAAUAAUUUUUUCAUUGGCCAAAUGUGUAGUAUCCAUUCACCAUCAGUGUAAAUAAAUGAGAAGGACAAAAAUCGUUCAAAAAUCACUCCAACAGCAGCAAACUCAAGGCAAACAAAAAUGGUCAAUAACAGUGAUAGUAAAAUAGCAAAGCUAACAGAGACAAACUCACUAUCUAAUUAAUUCAAAUAUCCAUCCAAACGGCUUUGACUAGAUCUGUGUAGUAAGAAAAAUAUUAGAGAAAAGGGGCGGCUCGUGGCUGUUUCUCGAUGUUGGUAGCGACUGUUGUAGUGGUUGACGGCGGCAGAUCUGGGAAGAAAUUCGAUGCUCAUCGGUCAUCACCUCCGGCUAGCUUGCGGCAAAAUGUAAAGGGAAAGCUUGUAGCGUGGGGGGUGGUAUUGUCGGACGGCUGUUUCAGGGAAGAAAAUUGUGUGGAGGUGGCGCGUGAGAUUGGAUGAACUGUUGAUAUCUACGGAGAAGACGAAAGCUUAAAAAUGAAAACUGUGUAGUAGGCAUCUAUAUAUAUAUUUAUAUGUGUGUCAUUGCUGUUGAUGGUAAAAAAUAAAACAAAAAUGGAGGUUGUUUUUCUAUGUAUGUGUGUGUUUAUGUGUUUUUAUAUAUAUUUUUUGUGAGUUUUUGAAGAGAAAAAUGAAAUAAAUAAAAUAUGCUUGUAUAUUUAUGAAUAUGUGUGUGAGUUUGCAAAGAAAAAAUGUUUAUGAGUUGUAAAAAAUAAAUAUAUGUGUAUUUUGAUAGAGAGGAAAAAAAUGAACAAAAAUGUGUGUCCAAAAUGUGUCCUCCCACCAGCUAUUUAUACAAAAAAUUGAGCACACCUUUUAUCCAAUGUAUAAAGGAGUGUCCUCUCUUUUUAUAAUAAAACACUCUUAGGUCCUUAAGUUAUUGGCCAAAGGAUUUUCAUCCUUUUGACCAAUGGACAAAGUAAUUAUCCAAAGGGUAGUGUCAUUGAUUGGUCGUUGUCAGAUGUGAUGAGACAACACUGAAUGGUCAUUUUCGGACGUGACAAGACAUUAUUGUGUAGUCGUUGUCGGAUGUGAUAAGACAUCGAAUUAUUAUACUGCACAAAAAUAAUUGAUCCGAUUGAGUAUUUGCGGACUGUAAAAUAUAGAUGUUGAAUGAAAAAUGUAAAGAAUAUUAAAAUAUAAUUAAUUUAAAAAUACUAUAUAUAUAUAUAUAUAUAACGUCAUGUCGUGCACAUGCGCAAAUAUUUGUAAAAUAAUAAAUUGAUAAGAAUAAGAAAAAUUAUUAAUAAAUUAUAAAGAGUAAAAAAUCCUAAAGUAAGGAUGAAAAUCAAUAAUUUGUUAUCAAUUGUAAAAAAUAUGUGGAAGUUGUAUUUUGUGUCUUUUAACGGUCAGGAAGCCUGAAUACGUUAUUUUUAAGCACGGAGAGCAAAAAUUGGGUGUCAACAACUACGCGUGACCUGAUUCUCCCCUCUCGGAGGUGAGAUACGUAGGCUGCCCUAUUUUGGGAUCGUCCAACCAAAUAAAUAAUUUAGAAUCACCCAAUCAAAAGAAACUGGGGCAUGAUUUAAUCCUCGUUGUUUAAGUCGAUUCCAAAAGUUGUAAGUCCCACCCUACUUCAAGUGUCGUUUGGGCCUCAUGUCAUCUUUUUCUUCUAACCUUAUUCAAAAGCCAAGCUACAACCAAAGAAAGACCUUCAGAUCAAUCUUUGAGAAUGUUAAGACUAAGCAUGCAAUGAAUGAGAUGACACAUUUUAGGAACUACUUGUUUACCUCAGCAAUAAGAAUCGGAAUGAGAGAGUCUUAUUGGUGAAAACCCUCACGGGUACCGUAAGGCGAUGGUAAGUUGAGAGAAAUAAAAAUGAGAGUCUUAUUGGUGAAAACCCUCACAGGCACCAUAAGACGACUGUGAGUUGAGAGAAAUGAAAAUAAGAGAGUCUCAUUGGUGAAAAAACCUCACGGACAUAAAGGCAAUGGUGAGCUGAGAGAAAGGCAGAGGCUUGUUGGCGAAAAACCUUCAAGGCGCCACUAGCCGAAUGAGAUCUAAAUACAAUUGACCUAAGGAAGCAACUCAGUUUUGAGGCCAUUAACUCAAAAACAAUUGGUAGGAAGUUUGGAUGAAAAGGUCAAGCUGCUUAAUCCAAAAUGCAUGGCAUAUUCAUUAGAGUUGAUUGUCAUUUUUAGAUGAAUUUUUCAUUUCUUUGUUUUAAAGGGGGACAUUUAUUGUCGACAUUUAUUGUCUUUUCUUUCUUCUUUUUAUUUUUAUUUUAUUUUCUUUGGUCAGUUGUCCAAAUAAAAAUCAUUGUCAUUUUUAUCUUGUCUUGGAGUCAAGUCCAUGUCAAAACAAGUGAGAAAAGAUUUCAAAACUGCCUACCAGCUUCUUUAAUUGCACAAAGCAAGACAAAAGGGUCAGUACAUGAAAAAGACAUGAUUGUGAGCCGAAAUAAGGCAUACAAAAUUUUGUCAACAGACAAGUCUGGGAACUUAUGGAAAUACAAAAGAUCAAAGGGUUUAUCUGAAAAGCAUGGCAAAGCAGAGAUACUGUGUUUGUUUCAGAGUCGCUCUUAAUAAUCUGAGUUUGGGUCAAUGAUGCAGCAAGUCAAUGGCAUAUGCUAAUGGUUGGAAGCAAGGUUAAAUGUGACCGGGGCAAGAGCGAUUGCCGCGAAAGCUAAAGACACAAACCAGCCACCAUGUUUUUAAACUAACAAGUUUUUUUUUUGUAUGAAACAGGAACACAUGUUACCUUCAAAUCGAGAAUUUCAAAGCCUAAACAUCAAAAGUUGCAAUGCUCACCUACACAAAUGCAGGAGAUAAUAUUGUUGCACAGGUUUGGUAAUCAAAACCAUGGUAAAACUCAUCAUCCAAUAUCUCUAGGAGACACACUUCCUUGUUUGGAUAAUUCAAGAGACAUUUGUAAGGAGAUGCACUUCCUUGUUGGGCAAUGCAAGUGACAUUUGUAAGGAGACACACUUUCUUGUUUUGGUAAUUCAAGCAGCAUUUGUAAGGAGAUGCACUUUCACAUUUGGGUAUCUCAAGCGGUAUUUGUAAGGAGAUUCACUUCCUUAUUUGGUAAUUCAAGCAACAUUUGUAAGGAGACGCACUUCCUUGUUUGGGUAAUUCCAGCAACAUUUGUAAGGAGACACACUUCUUUGUUUGGUAAUUUAAGCAACAUUUGUAAGGAGACAGACUUUCUUGUCUGGAUAAUUUCAGCAACAUUUGUAAGGAAACGUAUUUCCUUGUUUGGGUAAUUCCAGCAACAUUUGUGAGGAAACACACUUCUUUAUUUGGUAAUUCAAGCGGUAUUUGUAAGGAGACACACUUUCUUGUUUGGGCAAUUCAAGCAACAUUUGUAAGGAGACACACUUCCUUGUUUGGGCAAUUCAAGUGACAUUUGUGAGGAGACGCACUUCCUUAUUUUGGUAAUUUAAGCGGCAUUUGUAAGGAUACGCACUUUCUUGUUUGGGUAAUUUAAGAGACAUUUGUUAAGAGAUGCACUUCCAUGUUUUGAUAAUUCAAGCGACAUUGGUAAGGAGACACACUUCCUUAUUUUGGUAAUUCAAGCGGCAUUUUUAAGAAGACGCACUUUCUUGUUUAGGUAAUUCAAAAUACAUUUGUUAGGAGACGCACUUCCUUGUUUUGGUAAUUCAAGCAACAUCUGUAAGGAGACGCACUUUCUAAUUUGGGUAAUUCAAGCGACAUUUGUAAGGAGACGCACUUUCUUGUUUUGAUAAUUCAAGAUACAUUUGUUAUGAGAUGCACUUUCUUGUUUUGGUAAUUCAAGCAACAUCUGUAAGGAGACGCACUUCCUUAUUUGGAUAAUUCAAGCGGCAUUUGUAAGGAGAUGCACUUCCUGAUUUUGAUAAUUCAAGCAACAUUGGAGCCCGCCCAAAGCACAGGGUGAAUAAAUGGAAGGUCAAAUAAAAAGGUGAAGAAAUUGAAAGUCAAAAAAUUGAAAAAUAGCAAGUCAGGAGCCCACCUGGAGAUCAGGUUGAAGAAAUUGAAAGUCAGGCAACACGUUGAAGAAAUUGCAAGUCAGGAGCCGGCCUGAAGAAUAGGGGGAUGAAACUCAAGUCAAGAGUCCAAAAGAAGCUACAUAGAUAGGAUUUUUGUAAUUUUAUUUAUGUUUUAACUUGUAAUUUUUUAUUUUUGAUGUAAUGACAGAGUCGUGGACCGAAACCUCGAUGGGACCUCACUCGACUCUCCAACUCGGUAUAGUCUCUCUUCUUCCAACCCUUUGAGAUACAUGUAACUUGAUUCCCUCAUAACUUGGGUAGAAAGGACGUCCUAAGACAAGACUUGGUUGCCUUUUUUCUUUCUGUUUCGUUCCUUGAAUAAUGGUUGGGUCAAAAUUUUGUCUCGUUAUCUACUUUUUUUUUCUGAAAACACUUUGUGUUUGCACCCAAAAAGGGGCAUGAUUUAGACACCUAAUUUUGCCCCUCCCAAAACCCAAUUCAUCUAUUUUUACCACACAUUAUCAUACACUCUCACCCAUGUGAUUACACCCCACAAAAAUACAAAAAAAAUUAACAGCCCUUAACAAAUCUCUAACAAACUUUAUCUUGUUUUAAUCAUCCUAACAACCUACCCUUACUCCACCCCUACCCCACCUCACCCACAUAACCACUCCUCCUCCACAUUUCUUUUCCACAAAGGAAAAUAGCAUAUACACACACAAAUUCCAUCCAAUUGGUGACCCACAGUGAAGAAAAACAUAUACAAAAGGCCAUUCCAUUUUUUCCUUUCUUCUUGACCAAUUCAUAUAUACACAGAACAAACAAAAUACAAAAAUAAAUACCUCACGCCAUUAAAAAGGGACAACACACACCUGGCCAUUCGAACAAAAACCUCACUGAAAUACUCACAGAGGGAGAGCACACUGACCCUCACGCACAUCACACACACACUCCAUUUUUCUUUUUCUUCUCUACCGAGAACACACACCCAGAUAUACACCAUUACACCACUCACACGGAGAUGGAAUACGUGCAUACUCUCACUGAUUGAAGGGGUCCCUAUUUUUUCAUUUUUCUUUAACAACGCACGACAACACCAUAGAGAGAAUACCCACAAAAAUAGAGAAAAGAAAACCCGAAUAAAACAUACUACAAAUUGAAACCUUACCGAAAAAGUUCACUCACUCAUAAAUAGCUCACCAUACGUACACACGUCGUGUAUAAACACACCACACACUGAAAAUAGAGAGUUGAGGGUGUGAUCGGAGUAAUUGAGAAAGUGAGAUUCGAGUGAGAGAGAUAUAAAAACAGAGAGGGGGAUCGAAAGAUUAAGAGCAAAGCACAAAGGAGAACCGACUGUGAAGGAGGGUGGUGCGAUCGAAUUUCGGCAAUGUCCACUGGAAUCGUGGUUUGGUUCGGUUUUGCCUGAAAUCAGGUUGGGCUUUGGGUUUAUUCGUCUUCGCGAUUCAUUUUCAAUAUUGUAAUUCUUGGGUUACUCUAUUCAUGCCCGUGGAAUUCUGUUCGGAUUGGAUUUUGUGAAUAUUCCGUGUUUGGAGUUCGAUUGAUAGUCGAGUCGGUAUUCGUUGAGGUUCUCGGGACAACUCUUUAUUCUCUUAUUCAAAUCAAUUGAAAGCGGCAUUGAGGUCCAAUUCUAUCUCAUUCUCACUUUGAUUUCAUUAUAUACGCGCGAUUGAUGGAUAUCAUCUCAAUUUUCUCUUUUUUUCGGUGUGAUGUGAUGAUUAAUGUGGAAUUAUUUGGUUGUGGAUUUUUGAAAAAAGGUAAUCAUGAACUGUUAUAUUGCAACCUUGAAUAAAAUUUGGGGGAAUUGAUAAUCUAAUAAGUAGAACGUUGAUUAGUUUUGAUUUAUUGUUGGAUAUUGUUGAAUUGAUAGUAGCAUGCUUUAGAUCGUUAAAUGUGUAGGAAAAUACUAAGUUUGGAUAGGCAAAUUGUAGAAACAGAAGAUGGUGACUUGUGGAAUGUGUGAAUAUUUGUUGAAUGGUUCUUUCUAUUUUAACGCACAAAAUUGAGGAUGUAUUCAUUUUGCCGGGGAAUGCCCCGAUGUACCAAAUAUCGUCAACAAUGAAAUAGAAAGAAUGAAAGAGUAGAAUUGGAUCUCAAAUGUUUCGAUUGUGGUUGCUCCUUUCGAUUAGAACCGUGUCCAAAGUCUCAAACUGAACCUCAAGAAUCAACAAGCUCAACUCGAUAUCGCAAGUCACCACCCAAACAGAUUUGAAACCAUCAAGCAAAUUCACUAUCAACUCUCGAAUCGAGGACUUCAAACAGAAAUAACAAACCCCAAAGAUGAAAUUUCAACCUCAAACCCCAAAAGUAAAAAAAAAACCCAGAUCGAAAUGAUUCAAUGAUAGACGACGACCCGAUUCCAACACAAAACCCACGAUAGACAGUGGACAAUACUCCGCUUGGUAUCGAGAAAUGAAGACCCAAAACAGACCACAACGAACCCAAAUCAAAGACAACGAACAACCCAAAUCCAAAAUGAAUCACAAAUCAAUAGCAAGAUUGCGAAUUCACAACCCAAAUUUAUUCAGACAGAUAUCGCAAAAACAAAGACCAACCCGAACCCAAUAUCGAUCUCCCUAAUCCUUCACUCACUGAUUUUUCCUAUCCACUGGUUUCUGCUUAUCUCCUUCGUUUCUCUCUCUCUCUUUGUUCUCUCUUAAUCCCCCGUCACUGGUAUGUGCGUGCGUUUUUGGGUGUAUUCGAAAAAAAAAGAAGAAAUGGGAAGGGAAUCGCGUCACCUCAUCUCCAAAGAAGGAGAAACCAACAAAAUGGCGUCACUGUGUAUCCAUCCCCCCUGGUUUUUGUAAGUGUGUAUGUAUAUAUAUGCUGUGGGAAUUCCUUGUAGUGAGAGUGUGGACGAUGGUGUCUCUCUAUGGAAGAUCAUCUAUGGUGUUCUUCCGAAAAAAAUGGUGGCUCUCAGUGUUGUGUUUUUUUCCCGAAAAAAAAAAGAAAAAGAAGCCCCCCCCCCCAAAAAUGUUUUCUCCUCUUGGUCUCUCCUUUUCACUGUAUCCAUUCUCCUCUUUAAUUUUAUUUUUUGCUUUUUCUUUAUAUUGUGUCAUAAUUGUAUGAAUAUCAUUGGUGGCUUGUGGGUAUAUGUGUGUGGUAUGUGUAAAAUUAGGUAUGACAUGUGGAAAGAUGAGUGUGGCGUGUGGCAAAAUGAGUAGGGCGAAUGAAAAAUAAGGGGUGAGGUAUUGAGGUGACAUGGUGAAGUGGAUGCAAAUAGAAAUAAAAAUAAAAAUAGAAUAAAAAUAAAAUAAAUAAAAUAAAAAUAAAAAUAGAAAUAAUUAAAAUAUUUUUUUUGGGAUGGACAAAAUUACGUGUCUAUAUAUUGUCCUGUAUCAGUCUGUUUAGCACAAAAACAACUUGACUUGGAUCUAUUAGUGAUACGAGUACGACCACGAGGAUGCACGUAUGUGAGAAUGCAUUGGACCCGUCCAAUAAAGCAUCCAAUUCAGUGUGGAGAAGACCUUGUAUCACACCAAAACCGACCCUAAACUUGCACUCCAAGGGCGCGCUUUUCAUUAAAGGGACCUUUUGGUCAUUUUACCUAUUAUUUGUAACAUACUAUAAAUAGAAUAAUGUAGGGUUUUAGUCAUUAGUUUUGAUGAAUAUUAAAAGUUGUAGACACUUAGACAUUUCUCUCUUGUGAGAAAGGCCCCUAUGGCCAAACAUUGUAACUAGGGAUUUCAACUUGAGUGUGGAAUCACUUGUGUUGGAUUCAAGCUUGGAAAUGUUGGAUGCUUGGGAGAUCGAGGUCCCUCUUGUGCCA